GUCGAGCGAUGAGGCCCAGCUUGCUGGGUGGAUUAGUGGCGAACGGGUGAGUAACACGUGAGUAACCUGCCCUUGACUUCGGGAUAACUCCGGGAAACCGGGGCUAAUACCGGAUAUGAGCUACCUUCGCAUGGGGGUGGUUGGAAAGUUCUUCGGUCAGGGAUGGGCUCGCGGCCUAUCAGCUUGUUGGUGGGGUGAUGGCCUACCAAGGCGACGACGGGUAGCCGGCCUGAGAGGGCGACCGGCCACACUGGGACUGAGACACGGCCCAGACUCCUACGGGAGGCAGCAGUGGGGAAUAUUGCACAAUGGGCGAAAGCCUGAUGCAGCGACGCCGUCGUGAGGGAUGAAGGCCUUCSGGKUGUAAACCUCUUUCAGCAGGGAAGAAGCGCAAGUGACGGUACCUGCAGAAGAAGCGCCGGCUAACUACGUGCCAGCAGCCGCGGUAAUACGUAGGGCGCAAGCGUUGUCCGGAAUUAUUGGGCGUAAAGAGCUCGUAGGCGGUUUGUCGCGUCUGGUGUGAAAACUCGAGGCUCAACCUCGAGCUUGCAUCGGGUACGGGCAGACUAGAGUGCGGUAGGGGAGACUGGAAUUCCUGGUGUAGCGGUGGAAUGCGCAGAUAUCAGGAGGAACACCGAUGGCGAAGGCAGGUCUCUGGGCCGCAACUGACGCUGAGGAGCGAAAGCAUGGGGAGCGAACAGGAUUAGAUACCCUGGUAGUCCAUGCCGUAAACGUUGGGCACUAGGUGUGGGGCUCAUUCCACGAGUUCCGUGCCGCAGCAAACGCAUUAAGUGCCCCGCCUGGGGAGUACGGCCGCAAGGCUAAAACUCAAAGGAAUUGACGGGGGCCCGCACAAGCGGCGGAGCAUGCGGAUUAAUUCGAUGCAACGCGAAGAACCUUACCAAGGCUUGACAUGCACGGGAAGCCACCAGAGAUGGUGGUCUCUUUGGACACUCGUGCACAGGUGGUGCAUGGUUGUCGUCAGCUCGUGUCGUGAGAUGUUGGGUUAAGUCCCGCAACGAGCGCAACCCUCGUCCCAUGUUGCCAGCGGGUUAUGCCGGGGACUCAUGGGAGACUGCCGGGGUCAACUCGGAGGAAGGUGGGGAUGACGUCAAAUCAUCAUGCCCCUUAUGUCUUGGGCUUCACGCAUGCUACAAUGGCCGGUACAAAGGGCUGCGAUACCGUAAGGUGGAGCGAAUCCCAAAAAGCCGGUCUCAGUUCGGAUUGGGGUCUGCAACUCGACCCCAUGAAGUCGGAGUCGCUAGUAAUCGCAGAUCAGCAACGCUGCGGUGAAUACGUUCCCGGGCCUUGUACACACCGCCCGUCGAAGUCACGAAAGUCGGUAAC
rnacentral:rRNA from 1 species